GCCUUUGUAGCGCCAAAGUAUCCAAAUUGCGAGACUCUGCAUGCUCCAAAAUUUGGAACUGGUCAUCUCAAAAUUGAGAAUUUGAUUGAAAAAAAAACCCAAAAGGGUUAAGAUGCCCAAAUUCAGAGGAUUUGGACACUUAAAUUGAAUGAUUAAUGGCUCGCCAAAAAGGUGGAUCGAUUAAUUUGAUAGUUGAUGAGCACCUCGGCAGUAUUUUGGGUUGUAUUUCUAUUUAGUUUUCAUUUACUAAUGCCUUUACCGAGUGGCUUUUACUGUUUAACUUAUUUCUUCAUUAGAAGUAUUACUAUUACUUUUAAGUGUUGACUUUUGACUAUACACACACACACACACACAUAUUUUACAUUGAGGUUAGGGUUUCAACGACAGGUUCAAAUUGGCGGCGGGGUUUCAAAUUAGGGUUUCAAACCAGGGUGGCGUUUUAAAUUGGGGCGAGAGAUCCAAAUGAGGUUUCAAAGUAGGUUUUCAAAUUAGCAUUUUAGCAAUUUAGCAUUUCCAUGGAAGUCUUCAAAGAUUUUGCCUGGUUUAAGGAAGUGCGCCUUCAUUCGAGGAUCGGCGUCGUCUGAGGAUUCUGCGGCCAGCUCGGGCAACUCUUUGCUCCGUCGAGCCGCGAAAGCAGCCAACGGCUCACUUCAGAUCGCCGUCACUUGUUCAUCUGCUCCACCAAACUUCUCAUCCUGUAUGGAGUCGUUGCACAAAAAUGUAUUGAAAUGAAUCCCUUUUUGUACAGUUUGUUGAAAAUAAUAAAUCCAAAGUGACGAAAUAAAGCCGCUGCCAUUCGC